ensembl:lncRNA
CAGGAGAAAGAUGGCCCAACAAUCUUCCUGGCUUUGAUCUGCUGAACUGAAGAUCCUAGUGGAUUAUGGUUGUAGAACAAAAAUGCCAACAUUCAACUUUCCAGAGUGUGACAAUCUGUGCUUUAUGCAGAGGAUCAUAUCCAUACAAAAAACAGAAAACGACAGUGGAAGACACUCUGGAGGAGCAUAGAAUCAUAGAAUGAAUUAAGACCAUGAAUUUGGCGUUUGUCCUCGCCUUGUUGAUGCAGACUGUGCAGGCGAAUGCUGAGUUAGAUGCAGCUAUGCUUGAACACCUGAAGCAGCGUGAGCUGUUUCUGCAAGAGAAGAUGGCACAGCUGCUGCUGGAGACAGAGCAGCAGAAGCUGGAACAGAGCAAGAUGGACAUGCAGGCCCUUCUCUUCACUGCACUGCAGUGUUGGGCCUUGGC